rnacentral:rRNA from 1 species
AUGGCUCAGGAUGAACGCUAGCUACAGGCUUAACACAUGCAAGUCGAGGGCAGCAUGGUGUGCUGCAACAACCGAUGGCGACCGGCGCACGGGUGAGUAACGCGUAUCCAACCUGGCCCUUAGUAGGGGAUAGCCCGGCGAAAGUCGGAUUAAUACCCUAUGUUUUCCGUUGCGGACAUCUAAGAUGGAACAAAGGCUUGCCGCUAAGGGAUGGGGAUGCGUCUGAUUAGAUGGUAGGCGGGGUAACGGCCCACCUAGUCGACGAUCAGUAGGGGUUCUGAGAGGAAGGUCCCCCACAUUGGAACUGAGACACGGUCCAAACUCCUACGGGAGGCAGCAGUGAGGAAUAUUGGUCAAUGGUCGAGAGACUGAACCAGCCAAAGUAGCGUGCAGGAAGACGGCCCUAUGGGUUGUAACUGUCUUUUAUGCGGGGAUAAGUUGGGGACGUGUCCCUUUUGUAGGUACCGCAUGAAUAAGGACCGGCUAAUUCCGUGCCAGCCGCUGC